rnacentral:rRNA from 1 species
GACGAACGCUGGCGGCGUGCCUAAUACAUGCAAGUAGGACGCACAGUCUAUACCGUAGCUUGCUACACCAUAGGCUGUGAGUUGCGAACGGGUGAGUAACGCGUAGGUAACCUGCCUAUUAGAGGGGGAUAACUAUUGGAAACGAUAGCUAAUACCGCAUAACAGUAUGUAACACAUGUUAGAUGCUUGAAAGAUGCAAUUGCAUCGCUAGUAGAUGGACCUGCGUUGUAUUAGCUAGUAGGUAGGGUAAUGGCCUACCUAGGCGACGAUACAUAGCCGACCUGGGAGGGUGGUCGGCCAACCUGGGACUGAGACACGGCCCAGACUCCUACGGGAGGCAGCAGUAGGGAAUCUUCGGCAAUGGGGGGAACCCUGACCGAGCAACGCCGCGUGAGUGAAGAAGGGUUUCGGAUCGUAAAGCUCUGUUGUUAAGGAAGAACGAGUGUGAGAAUGGAAAGUUCAUACUGUGACGGUACUUAACCAGAAAGGGACGGCUAACUACGUG